rnacentral:rRNA from 1 species
AGAAUCAACGCUGGCGGCGUGCCUAACACAUGCAAGUCGCACGAGAAAGGGGAGCAAUCCCUGAGUAAAGUGGCGCACGGGUGAGUAACACGUGAAUGAUCUACCUCCGAGUGGGGAAUAACUGAGAGAAAUCUUGGCUAAUACCGCAUAACACUUACGAGUCAAAGCAGCAAUGCGCUUGGAGAGGAGUUCGCGGCCGAUUAGCUAGUUGGCGGGGUAAUGGCCCACCAAGGCGAUGAUCGGUA